AGGGCUGAGCCGGGCCCGGUCCCGGCACAGGCGGGCACCAAGCGGAGGUGGCAGGUGCACAGUGACGACGAGGACACUGCAAGCCUGGGUGCUGGGCCAGGCCCUGCUGGGCCCUGUGUGGAGGAGGAUGAGGUGCUGCAGCCCCCCAGCAGGCGGAAGCGGGUUCGCCGCGUGGAGGAGGAGGAAGAGGAAGAGGAGGACUGAAAGGCUCUUUGUGCCCUGCCCAGACCCUCAGUGUAUCCCAGCCCUGCAGGGAGCAGGGGGCUGCGGGCCCUGCUCCCUGUGGGCUUCCUUGUAUUUAGUUUUCUGCUUUUUCUGCAGGUUUUUAAACUAGUUUUUAAGGGUGGGGUGAAAGCAGGCUCCCACUGUCCCCCUCCUCUCCCCUUCUCAUGUCCAUCUCCGUGUUUUUAGUUUAAAGGUUGCUGUUUCUCAAGGAUGUCCUUUUCUUUUCUAAUGCCACCUUUUAAUGGGGAAAGAGACCAAAUAAAAAGUGCAAAUCUC